rnacentral:rRNA from 1 species
GAACGCUGGCGGCGUGCCUAAUACAUGCAAGUCGAGCGAACAGACGAGGAGCUUGCUCCUCUGACGUUAGCGGCGGACGGGUGAGUAACACGUGGAUAACCUACCUACAAGACUGGGAUAACUUCGGGAAACCGGAGCUAAUACCGGAUAAUAUAUUGAACCGCCUGGUUCAAUAGUGAAAGACGGUUUUGCUGUCACUUAUAGAUGGAUCCGCGCCGCAUUAGCUAGUUGGUAAGGUAACGGCUUACCAAGGCAACGAUGCGUAGCCGACCUGAGGGGGUGAUCGGCCACACUGGAACUGAGACACGGUCCAGACUCCUACGGGAGGCAGCAGUAGGGAAGCUUCCGCAAUGGGCGAAAGCCUGACGGAGCAACGCCGCGUGAGUGAUGAAGGUCUUCGGAUCGUAAAACUCUGUUAUUAGGGAAGAACAAAUGUGUAAGUAACUAUGCACGUCUUGACGGUACCUAAUCAGAAAGCCACGGCUAACUACGUG